UACGUAGGGGGCAAGCGUUGUCCGGAUUUAUUGGGCGUAAAGAGCGUGUAGGCGGACUGAUCAGUCUGGGGUGAAAUCUCACGGCUCAACUGUGAGCGGUCCCUGGAUACUGUCAGUCUUGAGAUGUCUAGAGGAGAGCGGAAUUCCCGGUGUAGUGGUGGAAUGCGUAGAUAUCGGGAAGAACACCAGUGGCGAAAGCGGCUCUCUGGGGACCAUCUGACGCUGAGGCGCGAAAGCGUGGGGAGCG
rnacentral:rRNA from 1 species